UCAUCACUAAUGAUUAGUGACUACUUCUUUUAGUUGCUAAACUAUAUUAAUACGUUAGAAUUAUCAUAAAGUUUGAAAAAGUAAAAAAUAUAGCAAAAAAUGAGCAAAACAUAAACAAAAUAUUAUCAACAAAAAUAAUUAUAUAUUCAAAUUUUUAACAAUGAACAAAAAAACAUUAUGAUUAUUGAUUAUCAAUUACAUUAAAAAUUACACGAACACACACGGUGGGAGGGAUUCACUGUUCAAAAAAUUUUCACUGCAUCUACAAGAAAUCAACGGUCAAUAACUCGACAAUUAACCUGAUGUUUGCGACACCGAAAAAGUUCGUCUUUAUGGAUAUUUUCAGGACUUCGACAACGCAUACUAUCGUAAUUUGGAAGAGUGAAAAGGAGUUUUGGACUCCGAUCAAGUUCUAUACACCGCCCCGCGCUCACCACCAUUAGUUGAAGAACUGGCCAGUAAUGGUUAGGUUUUCGAAAGAGUUUUCGCACGCUCAAUGAUUAAGUUGGACAGAAUCGGCGUGAAAACGGGCCGCAACAGCAAUAUCUGCCAUCUUUGUGACGCCUUUAAUUAGUUGUAACUUGUGCUGGGCGUUGAAAGCCCAUUCUAUAAUACUAUAAUGUUAUUAAGACAUGCAGUAAUGAAAAUCUUCAUUUAAAAAAAAAGAACCUAAACUCUUCACUUCUCGUGGCCCAUGGGUUCGUUUUCGUUGAAAGAUUUUGAAUCACGUAUGACGUGAAUGGAGUGGUCGAGAGGUCCCGGUUUUUUUUUUUAUUAGAUCGUGUAAGUUUUUUUUUUUUGUUUAUGUUGCAAUUUUGAGGGUAGUGUUUUAUUGCUUAGUCUAAUAUCACAAACGAAGUCGUUUUAAUAGUUUAGAAAGUAUAUAAACAAAUCGAUAUCAUCUGAAACAGUCCCAAUAGAAAAUUAACUUUCUUUGUAGAAUAAUCAAGAUGUUUACGAACUUACUAAUUGCAAACAUUCGCGAUUAACUUACAUCGUUAGGAUUUGCAUCAAAUGAAGUAAAGUUACCCCAAGAUUAAUAUCAUUAUCAUUAUUA
rnacentral:sRNA from 1 species